rnacentral:rRNA from 1 species
ACGGCUCAGUAACACGUGGAUAAUCUGCCCUUAGGUGGAGGAUAACCUCGGGAAACUGAGAAUAAUACUCCAUAGAUCUAGGAUGCUGGAAUGCACUUAGAUUGAAAGUUCCGGCGCCUAAGGAUGAGUCUGCGGACUAUCAGGUAGUAGUCAGGGUAAAGGCCUGACUAGCCUACGACGGAUACGGGUUGUGAGAGCAAUAACCCGGAGACGAUAUCUGAGACACGAUAUCGGGCCCUACGGGGCGCAGCAGGCGCGAAACCUUCACAAUGUGCGAAAGCACGAUGAGGGGAUCCCAAGUGCUUGCUCGUAAGAGUAAGCUGUUUUUAUGUUCAAAACGCAUAAAGAGUAAGGGCUGGGUAAGACGGGUGCCAGCCGCCGCGGUAAUACCUGCAGCUCAAGUGGUGACCGCUAUUAUUGGGCCUAAAACGUUCGUAGCCGGUUUGGUAAAUGCCUGGGUAAAUCGUGUAGCUUAACUAUACGAAUUCCGGGUAGACUGCCAAACUUGAGACCGGGAGAAGCUAGAGGUACUCCUUGGGUAGAGGUGAAAUUCUGUAAUCCUGGGGGGACCACCAGUGGCGAAGGCGUCUAGCUAGAACGGGUUUGACGGUGAGGAACGAAGCCCUGGGGCGCAAACCGGAUUAGAUACCCGGGUAGUCCAGGGUGUAAACGCUGCUUGCUUGAUGUUAGUUGGGCUCCGAGCCCAAUUAGUGUCGGAGAGAAGUUGUUAAGCAAGCUGCCUGGGAAGUACGAUCGCAAGAUUGAAACUUAAAGGAAUUGGCGGGGGAGCACAGCAACGGGUGGAGCGUGCGGUUUAAUUGGAGUCAACGCCGGG